rnacentral:rRNA from 1 species
UACGGAGGGGGCAAGUGUUGUUCGGAAUUACUGGGCGUAAAGGGCGCGCAGGCGGCUUGGCAAGUCGAGUGUGAAAUACCUCAGCUUAACUGAGGAACGGCGCUCGAAACUACCUCGCUUGAGGGCGGGAGAGGGAAGUGGAACUCUCGGUGUAGGGGGUGAAAUCUGUAGAUAUCAGGAGGAACACCGAUGGCGAAGGCAGGUCUCUGGGCCGAUACUGACGCUGAGGAGCGAAAGCGUGGGGAGCGAACGAGGA